rnacentral:lncRNA from 1 species
UUAGCUAGUAAUAUAAUUAUGAUUAAUCUUGAACUUUGCUUUCGUGUAUCAUCAUACAUGCAUUGUUAUUUAACUGCGAAUACUUUUUAGAUUCGGUACAUCGAGUACCCGCUUAACAAAUGUCCGUGCACAUACGUUAAUACAGUACUAUUAAAUAUACUAGGAACGGAAUAAUAUGUAUAUCUAUUGUACAAAACCAUAAGUUAGAAAAGAAUUCCAAAUUAUAUAUCACAGGAGAUUCAAAUUUUAAUUCACUUAGUAAUGAAAUCUUUACUAUUUAGCUAACUGAGAAACAUAGCAAAUAUUU